UUAACCAUAAAGAUAAACCCACGCGCAUCGUAUCUUCUAUCUCUCUUCCUCCUCUGACGUAAGCGCGUGACAAAACGAGCGAUCGAGAAUGGCGAAUCGCGCUGUGAAAUGUGGUGAGAUGUGAAUGCUGUCGCUGUGUUUAGGUUCCUUGCGUGUUUCUGUGUAUCAAAUAUACGUCAAAUAUUUGAAAACAAAACAAUGAACAAUGGUUUACUGUGCAGUUACCGGUUGUACAAAUAACAAUAACAAAAAAACUAAAAACAAUUCAACUAGCUACCGAUACUGAAGGAAACACCAGUUUCAAGAAUCCAGCUAACGACAAAGACAUUCACAUAUUUGCAGACGCCCCACAUAUGAUUAAACUUUUAAGGAAUCAUUUUCUUGACAGUGGAUAUCUUUUAAACGGAAAAAUUAUCAAUUCCAAACCAGUUGUAGACUUAUUGCAAAAUACUAAAAAUUUGGACUUGAAUAUUGCCCAUAAGCUUAACGCAGAUUUAUUAAUUGUAAAAGGUGCUCAAAGGCAGAAAGUAAAAUAUGCUUCUAAGUUGUUUUCGCAUACAAUUUCAAAAGCGAUGUCUAGAUUGGGUAUGCUGAGCAUUUACAAAACAGAAAAUAACUGGCUUGAGUGCUCUAACUUUUUUAAAAUUGUCAAUGACUGGUUUGACGUUUUUAACUCGCAAAUACCACAUGCAGAUUCACGAAAUCGAGUUAAAGGGUAUGGUCUGGCUUUACAAGAACAAAACGAAAUUUUGGAAAAAAUGAAAAAUAUGGUUAAAGAUAUGAGAAAGAUUGGGUCAAAUACUUUACUACCGUUUCAGAAAGGGAUUAUUAUAAGUAUAGAAUCCUUGCAAAAGCUUUUUUUUGACCUCAAAGAAGAAUUUGGUGUCAAAUAUUUAUUGACGUACCGGCUUAACCAGGACCCACUUGAAGGAUUUUUUUUCUAUUAUGAGAGCAAUUGGUGGUCUGCAUGACCACCCAAAUGCCCUUCAAUUCAAAUAUCAGCUAAGAAAUUAUUUGGUGGGCAGAAAUGAUAAUGUAAUAUCUAAAUCCGCAAAUAUUGAAGAGGAACUUGACAUUGUAACUAACCAACCAACCACUUCUGCAAAUAUUGUAAAUGAGGCCAAGAACUCAGUAAUGCAGCUGGCUCUUACCGGAGAAAUGCUUAGUGCUUUAGAUUUAUCUGAAGACGAUGAAAAUGAGAAGGACAUAUUUGAAAAAAAUAUACUCGAUACAAAGGAAGAGUUAAGGUGGGACGGAUUGGAAAAUUUGGCAGGUUUUAUCGCAUUUAAGUUGAGAAACAAAGAAAAACUUGGUUCUAUCCCCGAUUCCAAUGAGAUUUCUUUUUCCUGGGUCAACCAUUUAACAGAAGGUGGUUUACAGAAACCUAGUGAAGAGUUUUUAUCCAAAUGUAAUGAGCUAGACCAUAUAUUCACCAAAUAUAAUGGAGAAUCUUUGAAAAUUGAAAAAAAUUAUCUUGUAAAUUCAAAUAAAUUAGCGGAAAGUGUCCAGUUAAGCAAUGCAGCAAAAAAUUUAUUUUUUAGGUGCAAAAUGUUUUUUAGAAUAAGAAUUUUGAACAGAAAUAUUGAAGAAAUAUCUAGUAUGAGAAAACGCAAAAUGACCAAAAUUGUAAAUUAAUUAAAUUAAAUUAUAUUCUUAGACUAGACCAUUCACUUGUAAAAUUUACUUUGUGUAAAAUUGAGAUAUUCCCAUUGAUAAAUAAAUAAACAUUUAAAAAAAUAUUGUGUA
rnacentral:lncRNA from 1 species